GCCUGGGUGGCUCAGUUGGUUGAGCUUCCGACUUCAGCUCGGGUCAUGGUUUUGCACUUCAUGAGUUCAAGCCCCGUGUUGGGCU
rnacentral:tRNA from 1 species